rnacentral:rRNA from 1 species
CGGAUUUAUUGGGCGUAAAGCGCUCGUAGGCGGCUUUUCGCGUCGUCCGUGAAAACUCACAGCUUAACUGUGAGCUUGCGGUCGAUACGGGCAGGCUAGAGUUCGGUAGGGGAGACUGGAAUUCCUGGUGUAGCGGUGAAAUGCGCAGAUAUCAGGAGGAACACCAGUGGCGAAGGCGGGUCUCUAGUACGGUACUGACGCUGAGACACGAAAGCGUGGGGAGCGAACAGG